CCUCCCCUGAAGGCUUGCAGGUUCACGCCGUCACUCAACACCCGUGCCUCGGAUCAAAACACUCAAACCCGCCGCGCGGAUGCACGUUUCCUCGCCCCCACUUUGAGCUCCCUCUCGGAGUCCCCGGCCGCGGAUCGUCGCGGGGGCUCGGCUCGCCGCGCACUUUGAGCCGCCGCAGGGAUGGCCGCCGGCGCGAGGCUCGACUAUGUGGCUCCGUGGUGGACCGACUGGCUGCACAAUUUCCCUCACUUGGACUUUUCCUUCAAGCCCGUGGACGCCACCUUCAGACCCGAGCAGGGGAACUACCGGCAGUCGUUGGCGGUGGUGGCCUGCGUGGGAGCGGCGGGCCUGGCCGCCAGCCUGCUGCUUCUGCUUCUCUUCUGGCUCUGCCUGCGCUGCCGUCGCGGGGACGCGGGCCCGGACGCCAAAAGACCCCGGAGGAGCCGCUGCGCCGCGCGGUCGGCCGUCGUGGCCGGGCUCGUCGUAUGCUGCGCCGUGGGAGUGGGUUUCUAUGGAAACAGCGAGAUCAACGACGGCACGUACCGGCUGACCUACUCCGUCGUCAACGCCAAUCGCACUUUGUCCAGCAUCGGUGACCUGUCUGCAGCUUGCACGGGAAACGCCGAGCGGGGCCUGGAGCGGCACCUGGAGCGUCUGGACGAGAUCUUCGCGCCGCGGCCCGACUACCUUCAGGCUCUGCGCUUCAUGCGGCUGAUGGCCGACAAUGUCGUCCGGGAGCUGGCGGCCGUGCCCGACUCGGGCCAAGCCGACGUCAACCUGACCGGCGUGGCCACGCGCGCCGCCUUCCUCGACUAUUACAGGUGGCUGAGCUACCUGCUCCUGCUGAUCCUGGACCUGCUCAUCUGUCUGGCCGCCGGCCUGGCCAUGGCCAAGCGGGCUCGCCGCCUGCUCAUCAUGAUCGUGGCCUCGGUGGUGCUGUCGGUCAUCCUGAGCUGGGCCUCACUGGGAGCCAGCUUGGCUGCGGCCGUGGCCACCAGCGACUUCUGCGUCUCUCCCGACAAGUUCAUCGUCAACCAAACCGCAGAUUUCCUCAGUGCAGAUGUCGCCCACUACUACUUGUUCUGCGGUCCGAACGCGGCCAACCCCUUCCAACAGUCACUGACCACCUGCCAGCGCUCGCUGACCACCAUGCAGAUCCAAGUGCAGGGUUUGCUGCAGUUCUCCGUGCCCGUCUUUCCCACCGCCGAGAGAGACCUUUUAGGCAUCCAGCGCCUGUUGAACACCAGCGAAUUUCAUCUGCACCGGCUGACGGCCUUGCUCGAUUGUCGCGGGCUGCACAAGGACUACCUGGACGCCCUGACGGGCGUGUGCUACGAUGGCGUGGAAGGCCUCCUCUACCUGGCUUUGUUCUCCCUGCUGGCGGCGUGCGCGCUCAGCGCCAUGCUGGGGGCGAUUUUCCGGGCGUGGACGCAAAUGGGCAGCAGGGACAAAGAGUACGACGACACGGACGAAGAGGACCCGUUCAACCCCGGAGCGCGACGCCCGUCCUCCAACCCGAGGAGGUCCAACGUCCACAGCUUCUGCAGCUACACCGGCAGCGCCGGCAGCCAGGCCGGCGUCUACCCGCCUGCGCCUCAGGCGGCCGUCGGUGUGCCACCCGCCCCGGAAUACAUGAAUCAGUCCAUGCUGUUUGGCGGGAGCCCCCGAUACGAGAACGUGCCGUUGAUAGGCAGAGCAUCCCCGCCGCCUUUGGUGCGUUGGCCCUACACCGCCCUGGUGUCCCAAGUGUGACCGCCCCACCCAGACCCCUCCCUCACACGCAGCAAAAAAAAAAAAAAAACACUAAACCGGGGUGAAGGCGCAAACGGUUUAAGAGUGCCCUCUUGUGGUGUUUGACUGAACUGGUCAUUUUCCCCGUUGAAUGACAUUUCCUCCGAAUAAGACAAAUGCAUCAAAUGUGUAAAACAACCUCCAAAGAGCGCAUUGUCGCCUCGCUCAUCUGUAAAAAUAUAAAUGUUCAUCCCAGAGUUGAGAGUCGACGAUAAAUGAGUCGUGUCCCUGCAGCGGCAGCUAAAUAAUAGAUGACGCCGGUAAAUCCACCCCCCACCUGCUACCCCCACCUUUAAAAGGCGCUCGCUCUUUUAGAAUGAUGCUUCUGUCGGAUGGCGGGACCGCAUUGGUGCAUUCGCGGAAUUUAAAUGACUCGCAAAAGGCGAACAAUGUGGGCCGUUGUUUAAAAAUGUACACGCGAGAUCCAUUUUCAAGGCAGCAGCGCUUCCAAGAAUAAUGGGCCCGAUGGGCCAGGAUCGAUGCAGCGGCCUGGGAGCAUUGCAAAAUGCGGACCUUGGCUGCAAAAGCGCAAUUCUGAGCAGAUUAUUCCAUGAACGGGUCAUUCUGGUCUUUGUCAAGACUGAACGCUGGAUACGGUUCCUCACGAUCAUAGAAAUGAUGUCGAAAACCUUUUUUUUUAUUGUCAUUCCGGUUUGCACGCAUUUCCUGUUAUUUAACGCAAGUCUACGUCAUUUCCUGUUUGGGUGUUUUUUUUUUUGUUUGUUUUGUGUCACGUGUUGUUUUUCUUUUCUCUUGCCCAAAUAUGUCUGAGCUCGCCCCCUUUCGCUCGCGUGUUGCUCUGCCAAGCGCUUGCUUUUUGCCGGACACGCACGCUCCGCCAAACGCUUCAGCACGCGGGCAAUUACUCGCCCGCUAUGAGGACGACUUACCUGUCCAUGAGCGAAGCCCAGAGCCGACACUUUGGCACCGACUUCCAGGUGUCGCCGCCGUCGCC